GGAGUUGGCAGCCAGUGGUCCUGGGGACCGCGAGAAACACUCUGUCUUCCUGCUUUGAGGACAGCUGAAGUCUUGCCACUUCUUCUGGAUGCUCUGACCAUCAGUAAGAGACACGGUCUGACUUUGUUACCCCGGCUGGAGUGCAGUGGUGCAAUCAUGGCUCACUGCAGCCUUAACCUCCUGGGCUCAAGUGAUCCUCUCGCCAAGGCUAGGAUAAGUAGCUAGGACUACAGAUGCGCCCCAUCACGCCCAGCUAAUUUUACAACUUCUGUAGAGAUGGAGUGUUGCUGGGUUGCCCAGGCUGGUCUUGAAUUCCUGGGCUCAAGCGAUCCUCCUGUGUCCGGAAUUGGUGGGUUCUUGGUCUCACUGACUUCAAGAAUGAAGCCGCGGACCCUCGCGAGUCUGUAUCCACCAGCUACUCUUCCAGAUUCAUGAGGCAAGGCCUGCCUGCUCACCUGGCUGGCCCCAAGCACCUCUUCAACCUGUUGCCACCGUCCUGCCUUGCUGCCCUUCUCAGCUCAUCCAGCAGGGUCUCCAAGUCGUGGAAACAGAAGCACAUAUACACACAUGCUCAUAUGUACAUGCCCACAGUCACAUAAGCACACCGAGAAACACCAUCGCAGACAUGUUCUCACAAGCACAUGUGCAUAACACUCACUACCCCUCACGCGUAUACACAUUAAUACACACACUCAUGCACACUCAGUCUUACACACACAGACACACAGCCAUAAUCACUGUUGUUGGUUGAAUUGUGCCCCCCCAUCCCCACCAAAAAGAUAAGUUGGAGUCCUAACCCCCAGUACCUGGGGAUGUGACCGUAGUUGGAAAUAGGGUGUUUGUAGAUGUAAUCAAAUUAAGAUGAGAUCUUACUGGAUUAGAGUGGGCCUUAAAUCCAGUGACUGGUGUCCUUAUAAGGAGAAAAAGAUUUGAAAACAGAGACAUGGAGACACAGAGCAGAAGGCCAUGUGAUGAUGGAGUCAGAGAUUGGAGUGAUGCAGCUAUGAGCCGAGAAAUACCAAGGUGCUGGCAGCCCCCAGAAGCAAGGAGAGAGGCAAGGAACAAUCUCCAUCAGAGCCUCUGGAAGAAACAGACUCUGCCAACACCUUGAUUUCAGACUUUUGGCCUCCUUCACUGUGCGAGAAUACGUUUCUGUUGUUUUAAACUACUGAGUCACCAAGUCUGUGGUACUGUGUUAUGGCAGCCCCGGCAACAAAUCCAAUCACACACACACACACACACACACACACACACACACACACACACACACACACAGCUGGCUCCAGGCUCAGUGAUGAGCUCAGAGGAGUUCCCCUUGGGAGCUGCUCUUUCUCUGUCUUCCUUCCUUAGUGAUUGGUCCAGUGGAUCCACAAAAGCUCAUGGCCCAGAGCAGGAGCCCAGUCAUUUUUAAUUCCUCUUCCCUGGAGUUCUUAACCAUGCGUUGCCCUCAAAAUCUGCUCUCAAGAUUUGGGUUGCCAUAUUUAGGAGCACCAGAAAACAUACAGGAAUGCUGUGUCUGCUUGCAUCAUAUUAAUUAAAAACUGGAAAUAACCUAAAUGUCCCAGAAUAGGUACAUAAACUGUGGCAUAUCCACUUAAUGGAAUACUACUCAGCAAUACAAAAGGAAAACCUAGUGUUACUUGAGCAACAUGGAUGAACUUCACAGACAUAAUAUUGCACAGCACGAGGCAGACACAAAAGUGUGCAUAUGCUAUGAUUCCAUUUACAUGAGAUUCAAGAACAGGCAAAGCAGAUCUAUGGGGAUAGAAGUCAGAAUAGUGGUUACCUCUGGAAGGUGGAAUUGACUGGGAGGGGCUUCAGGGAACCUCCUGGGGUGCUGAAAACAUUCUGUGCUUGCACCGGGUGGUGGUUAUGUGGGCAUUACAUAAAAUUCACCAAGCUGCACCCUUAAUGAUUUGUACAAUUUGAUGCACAAAUCUAACAUCUCAAGAAGAAUAAAUUUUACAAAGUACCUAAGAAGCAAAUGACCAGAA
rnacentral:lncRNA from 1 species